GUUGCAGAUUGGAGUCCAUACUCAUGCCAAGGAACAGGUAACAUGAAUCAUGAUGGGACCUUGCAUCAAACUCAUCUGGACAAUGGAGUACUCCUAGUAAUGCUAUAGCAGAAAAAAUUCAAUUUUUGGACCACGAGAUGCCAAACAAGGACCUACCUAGUUGCCACACAGCAUGAGAAAUUUCUUUGUACAGAGUCAGCAAAAGAUGAGCACCCUCAUGUUGCGAUAGGAUGCAACUGGAGAAGUUUUUUGGUGACUCGAAUUAAAACACGCAAGCCAUUC
rnacentral:lncRNA from 1 species